rnacentral:rRNA from 1 species
UACGUAGGGACCGAGCGUUGUCCGGAUUCAUUGGGCGUAAAGAGCUCGUAGGCGGCUGUUCAAGUCGAACGUGAAAACUCGGAGCUCAACUCCGAGCCUGCGUUCGAUACUGGACGGCUAGAGUCUGGUAGGGGGAUCUGGAAUUCCUGGUGUAGCGGUGGAAUGCGCAGAUAUCAGGAGGAACACCAAUGGCGAAGGCAGCUCGCUGGGACGUGACUGACGCUGAGACGCGAAAGCGUGGGGAGCAAACAGG